rnacentral:misc_RNA from 1 species
GAUGAAGAACGUAGUGAAACGCGAUAUGUAAUGUGAAUUGCAGAAUUCAGUGAAUCAUCGAAUCUUUGAACGCGCAUGGCGCCUUCCAGUAUCCUGGGAGGCAUGCCUGUCCGAGCGUCGUUUCAACCCUCGAGCCCCCGUGGCCCGGCGUUGGGGAUCUGCCCAGGCAGUCCCCGAAAACCAGUGGCGGACCCGUUACAGGCCCUUCCCUUGCGUAGUAGCAUUCGCCUCGCAUCGGGAGCCGGCGGGCUUCCAGCCUCUAAACCCCCAUCAAGUCCGCCCCGGCGGCACCAAGGUUGACCUCGGAUCAGGUAGGAAUACCCGCUGAACUUAAGCAUAUCAAUAAGCGGAGGA